UUGGAGGGCAAGUCUGGUGCCAGCAGCCGCGGUAAUUCCAGCUCCAAUAGCGUAUAUUAAAGUUGUUGCAGUUAAAAAGCUCGUAGUUGAAUUUCGGGGUUAGUAGGUUGGUCAUGCCUCUGGUAUGUACUGGUCUCACUGAUUCCUCCUUCCUGAUGAGCCGUAAUGCCAUUAAUUUGGUGUUGCGGGGAAUUUGGACUGUUACUUUGAAAAAAUUAGAGUGUUUAAAGCAAGCUAACGCUUGAAUACAUUAGCAUGGAAUAACGAAAUAGGACGUUCGAUCCUAUUUUGUUGGUUUCUAGGAUUGACGUAAUGAUUAAUAGGGAUAGUUGGGGGCAUUAGUAUUCAAUUGUCAGAGGUGAAAUUCUUGGAUUUAUUGAAGACUAACUACUGCGAAAGCGUUUGCCAAGGAUGUUUUCAUUAAUCAAGAACGAAAGUUAGGGGAUCGAAGACGAUCAGAUACCGUCGUAGUCUUAACCAUAAACUAUGCCGACUAGGGAUCGGAUGAUGUUAAUUUUUUAAUGACUCAUUCGGCGCCUUACGGGAAAC
rnacentral:rRNA from 1 species